rnacentral:snRNA from 1 species
AAAACCGAAAAAACCCACAAAAA